UCCCUGGUGGCUCAGACAGUAAAGCAUCUGUCUGCAAUGCAGGAGACCCAGGUUUGAUCUCUGGUUGGGAAG
rnacentral:tRNA from 1 species